UUGGAGGGCAAGUCUGGUGCCAGCAGCCGCGGUAAUUCCAGCUCCAAUAGCGUAUAUUAAAGUUGUUGCAGUUAAAAAGCUCGUAGUUGAAUUUCGGGAUCAGUACGUUGGUCGUGCCUUAGGUACGUACUGGUGUUACUGGUUCCUACCUUCUGACGAACCAUCAUGUCAUUAAUUUGGUGUGGCGGGGAAUCAGGACUGUUACUUUGAAAAAAUUAGAGUGUUUAAAGCAGGCUCGCGCUUGAAUACAUUAGCAUGGAAUAAUGAAAUAGGACGUUGAUCCUAUUUUGUUGGUUUCUAGGAUUGACGUAAUGAUUAAUAGGGAUAGUUGGGGGCAUUAGUAUUCAAUUGUCAGAGGUGAAAUUCUUGGAUUUAUUGAAGACUAACUACUGCGAAAGCAUUUGCCAAGGAUGUUUUCAUUAAUCAAGAACGAAAGUUAGGGGAUCGAAGACGAUCAGAUACCGUCGUAGUCUUAACCAUAAACUAUGCCGACUAGGGAUCGGAUGAUGUUAAUUUUUUAAUGACUCAUUCGGCGCCUUACGGGAAAC
rnacentral:rRNA from 1 species